UACGUAGGUGGCAAGCGUUGUCCGGAUUUACUGGGUGUAAAGGGCGUGUAGCCGGGCUGACAAGUCAGAUGUGAAAUCCGGGGGCUCAACCCCCGAACUGCAUUUGAAACUGUUGGUCUUGAGUAUCGGAGAGGCAGACGGAAUUCCUAGUGUAGCGGUGAAAUGCGUAGAUAUUAGGAGGAACACCAGUGGCGAAGGCGGCCUGCUGGACGACAACUGACGGUGAGGCGCGAAAGCGUGGGGAGCAAACAGG
rnacentral:rRNA from 1 species